GAUGAACGCUGGCGGCGUGCCUAAUACAUGCAAGUCGAGCGAACGGACGAGAAGCUUGCUUCUCUGAUGUUAGCGGCGGACGGGUGAGUAACACGUGGAUAACCUACCUAUAAGACUGGGAUAACUUCGGGAAACCGGAGCUAAUACCGGAUAAUAUUUUGAACCGCAUGGUUCAAAAGUGAAAGACGGUCUUGCUGUCACUUAUAGAUGGAUCCGCGCUGCAUUAGCUAGUUGGUAAGGUAACGGCUUACCAAGGCAACGAUGCAUAGCCGACCUGAGAGGGUGAUCGGCCACACUGGAACUGAGACACGGUCCAGGCUCCUACGGGAGGCACCAGUAGGGAAUCUUCCGCAAUGGGCGAAAGCCUGACGGAGCAACGCCGCGUGAGUGAUGAAGGUCUUCGGAUCGUAAAACUCUGUUAUUAGGGAAGAACAUAUGUGUAAGUAACUGUGCACAUCUUGACGGUACCUAAUCAGAAAGCCACGGCUAACUACGUG
rnacentral:rRNA from 1 species